rnacentral:rRNA from 1 species
CCUACGGGUGGCAGCAGUGAGGAAUAUUGGUCAAUGGGCGUAAGCCUGAACCAGCCAAGUCGCGUGAGGGAAGACGGUCCUAUGGAUUGUAAACCUCUGUUGUCGGGGAGCAAAAGACGCCACGCGUGGCGUUCCGAGAGUACUCUAAGAAUAAGCACCGGCUAACUACGUGCCAGCAGCCGCGGUAAUACGGAGGGUGCGAGCGUUAAUCGGAAAUAAGGGGGGGAAAGGUUGCGCAGGCGGUUGAGUAAGACAGCUGUGAAAUCCCCGCGCUUAACUCGGGAAUGGCAUCUGUGACUGCUCGACUAGCGUGUGUCAGAGGUAUGUGGCAUUCCACGUGUAGCCGUGAAAUGUGUAGAUAUGUGGCAGAACACCGAUGGCGAAGGCAGCCUCCUGGGACAUAACUGACGCUCAGGCACGACAGCGUGGGGAGCAAACAGGAUUAGAUACCCCUGUAGUC